rnacentral:rRNA from 1 species
AUUGAACGCUGGCGGCAUGCCUUACACAUGCAAGUCGAACGGUAACGGGCCUUCGGGUGCCGACGAGUGGCGAACGGGUGAGUAAUGCAUCGGAACGUACCUUUCAGUGGGGGAUAACGUAGCGAAAGUUACGCUAAUACCGCAUAUUCUGUGAGCAGGAAAGCAGGGGAUCGCAAGACCUUGCGCUGAUUGAGCGGCCGAUGUCAGAUUAGCUAGUUGGUGAGGUAAAGGCUCACCAAGGCGACGAUCUGUAGCGGGUCUGAGAGGAUGAUCCGCCACACUGGAACUGAGACACGGUCCAGACUCCUACGGGAGGCAGCAGUGGGGAAUUUUGGACAAUGGGGGGCAACCCUGAUCCAGCCAUGCCGCAUGAGUGAAGAAGGCC